rnacentral:rRNA from 1 species
CCCAGACUCCUACGGGAGGCAGCAGUGGGGGAUAUUGCACAAUGGGGGGAACCCUGAUGCAGCGACGCCGCGUGGGUGAAGGAGUGCUUCGGCAUGUAAAGCCCUAUCGGCAGGGAAGAAGCAAGACGGUACCUGACUAAGAAGCCCCGGCUAACUACGUGCCAGCAGCCGCGGUAAUACGUAGGGGGCGAGCGUUAUCCGGAUUCACUGGGUGUAAAGGGAGCGUAGACGGCCAAGCAAGCCAGGGGUGAAAGCCCGGGGCCCAACCCCGGGACUGCCCUUGGAACUGCAUGGCUGGAGUGCGGGAGGGGCAGGCGGAAUUCCUGGUGUAGCGGUGAAAUGCGUAGAUAUUAGGAGGAACACCAGUGGCGAAGGCGGCCUGCUGGGCUUUUACUGACGCUGAGGCUCGAAAGUGUGGGGAGCAAACAGGAUUAGAUACCCGUGUACC